rnacentral:misc_RNA from 1 species
AUUUUCCAACUUCCAGGAGUAGACCCUCUACUUCCACGUAUUCGCUACACAAACCGUGAGCAAAUGUAACAAAAUCAAAAUUUACUUUCUUGGAUUCUGUGCCUUCUUCUCAAUCCUAAGUUUGGUGUAGUAUGGUUAGGUACUUUGAGGGGAAGUGACAAAGAUAGAGAAUGAGCAGGUCUAGAAGGUUCUUGAAUGAAAGGGCUAGGGGAGAUGGGAUGAAACUUAUUGAUGAAGGUGGAACAAGUGUUCUUGAUCAUGAAAUUUCCCAACUUACAAAGAUUAGGUCAAAUCCCCACGAAAGAAUGAGACACCUGCUUCCUGGCAAGGGAAAAGAACCAGUUUCAUCUGUUAAAAUGUUGGCUGCUAGAGAAGGGAAUUAUACAGGCAGAGGAAGAUUUUCGUCAUCUGAUUGUUGUCAUCUUCUGAGCCGGUAUCUUCCAACAAAUGGUCCUUCUGUAGUUGACCAAAUGAGGAGCUGUGCUUAUGUUUCACAGUUUUCGACCGAUGGUUCUCUUUUUGUUGCUGGAUUUCAGGAAAGUCAUAUUAGGAUAUAUAAUGUUGAUCAAGGCUGGAAAAUUCAGAAGGAUAUUAGAGCAAAAAGUUUGAGAUGGACAAUCACCGAUACAUCGCUUUCUCCUGACCAACGUUUUCUUGUUUAUUCCAGUAUUUCACCCAUUGUCCAUAUUGUUGAUGUUGGAUCUGGCAUGAAACAGUCUGUAGCAAAUGUUACGGAAAUUCAUGAAGGCUUGGAAUUUUCUUUCCCUACCUAUGAUCAUGACAAUUAUACAUUUGGAAUAUUCUCUGUGAAGUUCUCUACUGAUGGGCGAGAACUUGUUGCUGGUUGCAGCGACAAUUCAAUAUAUGUUUAUGAUCUUGAAGCAAAAAGGCUAAGUCUCCGAAUUCCGGCUCAUAUGUCUGAUGUUAAUGCUGUAUGCUUUGCUGACGAAACUGGACACCUCAUAUAUUCUGGAAGCGAUGACAGCCUGUGUAAGGUUUGGGACAGGCGUUGCUUUGGUACUAGAGAGCAAGCAGCUGGGGUUCUCAUUGGACAUCUAGAAGGCAUUACAUAUGUUGACACUCGAGGAGAUGGCCGGUAUCUUAUCUCAAAUGGGAAAGAUCAGGCUAUCAAACUCUGGGAUAUAAGGAAAAUGUCUUCUAACAUUAAUUACUCCCCAAGGCCUAGAAGUUAUGACUGGGAUUACAGAUGGAUGGGCUACCCAGAGCAUGUUAGAAACAAGAGAAAUCCACAUGACCUGUCAUUGUCUACUUAUAAAGGCCACUCAGUCUUGCGCACUCUUAUACGCUGCUAUUUCUCUCCUGCACAUAGCACAGGGCAAAAGUUCAUCUACGCUGGAUCAAGCGAUUCUUCUGUCUAUAUCUAUGAUGUGGUGAGUGGAGCUCGGGUUGCAAAACUUGAUUACCAUCAGGAGCCGGUGAGAGACUGUAACUGGCACCCUUACUACCCUACGCUCGUUAGCUCUGGAUGGGACGGUAUCAUUGCUAAAUGGGAGUUUUCCGGUGCUGAUACAAGCCCAUUGCCAAAGAAGCCUCUAUCCAGACGAUGGAGGCGAUCUUAAGUUGAUACUAGCCAGUAGCAGCAUGCAGAAAGAUGCUAUUAGAGUCCACACUGAUUGAAAUUUCCAAAGCUCAAGUAGGUCUGUUCAUGUUCUUUCUGCAUAUCGACAUGUAGCCGUGUACUCUGGUUGUCCCUGACGGGAUAGUCCAAUGGCGCGACAGGUCAGAACGUUGCGAGUUCAAAUCCUAAUGGUUGCCUUGUUGGGCAUUUGUCACUAGAUAUUAUGUAAAAAGGGGCUGUGAAUUGUGAUCCUAUUACAGGUGAAUGUUGAUUGAGAAUUUUAUGAAAGAUUUAGUGUAAAAAGUUGCAUUUACAGUCAAUCAUUGAAUGCAUGUCAUGUAGUGUACUACUUCGU